GCCCCUGUGGCGGAAUUGGUAGACGCGAUGGCCUCAAAAGCCAUUUCUCGCAAGGGAGUGUCGGUUCGAGUCCGACUGGGGGCACCA
rnacentral:tRNA from 1 species